AUCAAAAACAGCUGGACUUGAAUCACACAUUCGAUAAGUAUUAACCAACGCAUCUAAGACCUCCAAAUGGGAUCUCCCAUUUACACUCAUUAAGUUCCCCAUAAGAGACAAGGCAUCAUCAAAUCUCUUCAAGUUGACUAGCACAUGAAUAACAGUGCAACAAGACUCCACUGAUUGCAAAAUACUCUUUUUCUCUAGAACCCAAUUAUAAAAUUCUAAAGCUAAUAGUGG
rnacentral:misc_RNA from 1 species